ensembl:lncRNA
UAUAUAUAUAUAUAUAUAUAUAUAUAUAUAUAUAUAUAUAUAUAUACACACACACACACACACACAAUUUUUAUUAUUAUUUUAUUAUUUAUUUAUUUAUUUAUUAUUAUUAUUUUUUUGCAGAUGUUUCCAUGGCAGAGUCAAAUGAUGUGACAUAUUCAGAAGUCAUAACAAAAGUAAAGAAAUGCAAAGAUGCUGAUGCUGGAGUUGGUGAUGCAACUUAUGCUUCUGUUAGGAAGAAGGGUAACCAAAAAAAUAAAAUAAAAUAAUAAUUGUGUUAUAAUUGUACAAUAAUUUAAUAAUAACUGACAGCAAGCUCACAAUUUGCACUUGUUGUCGUAGAUUGUGGCAUAUAUUGGUUCUUUUACAUUAUAAAUCUCCUUUACGGGUUUCAGUUACUUCUUAGAUCUGCAUUAUUCACAUCACCUGCAUCAUCUUGUAUCUGUUUUAUCUGUUAAAGGUCCCUGAGUGCAGUGAAGAUAACAGACGGCUGAAAGAGAUUCACAGCAGCAGACACAGUGACGCUUGCAUUGCUUAAAGGGGUCAUAGGAUGCUAAUUUCACUUUUAUAUGUUGUUUAACAUAAAUGUGUUUUGGCAGUGUGUGUACACAUCUACCCUAUAAUGAUAAAAUCCACACAGUGGUUUUAAUUUAAUCCCUAAAAAUAAUAUCCCCUUUUGCAAAUCAGGCCGUUCUCAGCUCCUUGUCUGUGUGACAUCACACGGAUGAAUGCCCCUCCCACGAAAGUUGAUUGACACUAGCGUCUUACCUUAGCUCCGCCCUGAGUGAGCUGUCAUCAGUCCAACAUUGUUUCACCGCUGGAGCAGAUGUAGACAAGAUUGUCUCCUAAGCGAUUGAGGUGUUUUGUUGUUGGAUGUAAUAAUGAACAUAGCAGUCGUCAUUUACACCCGACAUCUGAGCCGUUGAAGACACAGUGGAUUAUGUUUGUUUCUGAAGGGAAUGUGCCCCGAUCAAACUAAAUGCGUUUAUGUUCACGCGAAUCAUUCAUGAUCUAGCUUCUCCAACAGAAGAAGUGAGUAUAUGGUUUUUUAUGAAUCUUUGCAAUCGCUGUUCCUAAUAACAUGCUAGCUAGCAAGUUCUGCGGCUAGUAAACAGUCUUAGAGCAGGGUUCGUCACCUCACAGAAGAGAGGGGUGGGGUCAGCAAAGCUCAUUAGCAUUUAAAGCUACAAGCAAAAAAUGGGUUGAUUUCUGCACAGCUGAUUUUGACACGUAAAAAGGGUGUUGUUUUACACUACCAUUGAGAAAUUUUAACCAAAGUAUGUUACAGACUUUUCAUUAAGACCCUAACGAAUCAUAUUAACUUGUGGAAAAUAGGCAACCGAUGACCCCUUUAAGAAAUAAAUCUGAGUGAACUGCUUAUGCA